rnacentral:rRNA from 1 species
AUGCACUGCAUUUCACAGAGUAUCAUGUUCUUUCUGGGCUCUGUGAGCAGAACUGGAUUGGAAGUGGCAGGUCUGGCAAGGUGUACCGAAUUUGUGUUGUGGAUGGAGAAGGUGGUAGUAGAAUGGUGGCUGUUAAAAAAGAUAUGGAACGCCCAGAACCUUGACAACAAGCUCGAGAAGGACUUCCUUGCAGAGGUCCAGAUAUUGGGUGAGAUCCGGCACACAAACAUUGUCAAGCUGCUCUGCUGCAUCUCAAGCUCAGAGGCAAAGCUUCUUGUCUAUGAGUACAUGGAAAAUGGUAGCUUAGACAGGUGGCUGCAUCAGAGGGAUAGAGUUGGUUCACUGGCACCUUUGGAUUGGCCCACCAGAUUGCAAAUUGCCAUCGACUCGGCAAGAGGUCUCUGCUAUAUGCACCAUGAUAGUUCACCCGCCAUAGUGUACUGUGAUGUCAAGUCUGCCAAUAUCCUUCUGGACCCCGAGUUCAGAGCAAAGAUAGCUGACUUCGGGCUUGCUCGGAUUCUUCUCAAAACCGGAGAUCCUGAGUCAAUUUCUGGCAUAGGUGGUACCUUUUGCUACAUGGCACCAGAGUAUGGAUACCGGCUUAAGGUGAAUGAGAAGGUCGAUGUCUACAGCUUCGGAGUGGUCCUGUUGGAGCUCACAACGGGGAGGGUGGCAAAUGAUGGAGGCUUGGAGUACUGCUUGGCAGAAUGGGCAUGGAGACAGUAUCAAGAGUAUGGCCUGUCAAUUGAUCUUCUUGAUGAAGACAUUCGAGAUCCAGCCAACAUUGAAGAUGCAUUCGCAGUGUUUACGCUAGGUGUGAUCUGCACAGGUGGGCAGCCUUCAGUGCGGCCAUCAAUGAAGGAUGUGCUGUACGCUCUUCUCCGGUUUGAACAUAGAUCCAGGGAAAGAAGCCCGCGGCAUGUUGUCUCUGAAGAAACGUCACUUCUAGAAUCCUAG